UGGGGAAUUUUGGACAAUGGGCGCAAGCCUGAUCCAGCCAUGCCGCGUGUGGGAAGAAGGCCUUCGGGUUGUAAACCACUUUUGUCAGGGAAGAAACGGCCUAAUCUAAUACAUUGGGUUAAUGACGGUACCUGAAGAAUAAGCACCGGCUAACUACGUGCCAGCAGCCGCGGUAAUACGUAGGGUGCGAGCGUUAAUCGGAAUUACUGGGCGUAAAGCGUGCGCAGGCGGCUUUGCAAGACAGAUGUGAAAUCCCCGGGCUCAACCUGGGAACUGCAUUUGUGACUGCAAGGCUAGAGUACGGUAGAGGGGGAUGGAAUUCCGCGUGUAGCAGUGAAAUGCGUAGAU
rnacentral:rRNA from 1 species